GGAAUUCAGAGCAAUCGCGUUCACUGCGUCCCUCAAAUGGGAUAUCCAGUAAUCUGGCGGAUAGAAGACAUUUACCACCCUGUUAUUUCAGCCGUUGGAAUUCCCGUUCCGUCUCACUGAUGUCUGUCCUGCCGCCGAUCAGCGUUACACAACAAAGGUGAUUCUCCUCGCCCGGAGUUGACGGAAGUAAGAGUCGACACCACAGAUGUCUUUUCGAGAGCAGAAUAGAUUUAUGCACCUCGCGCCAGAUCUUUGUCUUGCCGUUUGUCCUCCUCCGGCCGCUUUGCUUCGGUUGCCUGAACGUUAUCAGGCGGGGUCGGGGUGAUUGAUCCAGCCGUACAGCUUCUGCUUACAUGAAAACUUAGACCAGAC